AGUAUUUAUAUAUCCGGAGAAAGUUCUAUAGUAAAUUCUGGAGAUCUUCGGUAUUUAAAUAUCAACAUCGAUUUGUUUAUUUAUUGCUCAGCUUAUCGUAACCGACUCGAUAACAAAUCUAAUCAUGUGGCUUGCGGAAAAAUAUAUAUAUAUUCUCAUUAUGCAUUUUCCCUACAUUAUAGUUAACUGUUACAUUUGAAUUCGAGCUGUAAAUUCAACAUUAUCAAGUAAUUACU
rnacentral:lncRNA from 1 species